GGGAAGGUGGCUCAGUGGUAGAGCACUUGCCUUGCAUGCAUGAGGCCCUGGGUUCGAUUCCUUAACACCUCA
rnacentral:tRNA from 1 species